GCUUCUCUGAAAAUGACUGAGCAAGGCACUGAUCUGCUUCCUUGGGCAGAGUAGCCUGAAGAUUUCCAGGAAUUGCUUGCUGGAGUUAAGCCCUUUGGACGUGCGCAUGAUAUAUAAUGCAAUAGAUCUCUCCAGCAUCAGUGAUGUGGAUAUGAUGUCCUAUAAUAAAGAAUGAAAUCUCUGUGGCAAGCAUGACAGAAAAUAUUCCCACUCAUGGCUGGAGCCUUUGUUCUGAAGCAGAACCAGGGAUGGAUUAG